UACGUAGGGCGCAAGCGUUAUCCGGAAUUAUUGGGCGUAAAGAGCUCGUAGGCGGUUUGUCGCGUCUGCCGUGAAAGUCCGGGGCUCAACUCCGGAUCUGCGGUGGGUACGGGCAGACUAGAGUGAUGUAGGGGAGACUGGAAUUCCUGGUGUAGUGGUGAAAUGCGUAGAGAUCCGGAGGAACCCCAGAGGCGAAGGCGGCAUCCUGGCCCACGACUGACACUCAGACACGACAGCAUGGGGAGCGAACGGG
rnacentral:rRNA from 1 species